rnacentral:rRNA from 1 species
UGGGGAAUUUUGGACAAUGGGCGAAAGCCUGAUCCAGCAAUGCCGCGUGUGUGAAGAAGGCCUUCGGGUUGUAAAGCACUUUUGUCCGGAAAGAAAUCCUUGGCUCUAAUACAGUCGGGGGGAUGACGGUACCGGAAGAAUAAGCACCGGCUAACUACGUGCCAGCAGCCGCGGUAAUACGUAGGGUGCAAGCGUUAAUCGGAAUUACUGGGCGUAAAGCGUGCGCAGGCGGUUUGCUAAGACCGAUGUGAAAUCCCCGGGCUCAACCUGGGAACUGCAUUGGUGACUGGCAGGCUAGAGUAUGGCAGAGGGGGGUAGAAUUCCACGUGUAGCAGUGAAAUGCGUAGAGAUGUGGAGGAAUACCGAUGGCGAAGGCAGCCCCCUGGGCCAAAUACUGACGCUCAUGCACGAAAGCGCGGGGAGCAAACAGGAUUAGAUACCCUGGUAGUCCACGCCCUAAACGAUGUCACUAGUUGUGGGGAUUCAUUCCUUAGUAACGUAGCUAACGCGUGAAGUUGACCGCCUGGGGGAGUACGGUCGCAAGAUUAAAACUCAAAUGAAUUGACGGGGUCAUA